AUGUGAUAGGCCUUGACCAGAGUCCUAAGCCCCACUGUUCUGCUGAUGCUGCGCCUGGAUGUGAUGAGGAGGACACCUGGAGCUUCUCUUUGAAUUUAGCUACAUCCCAACAGGAUUGAUGCUGAUUCCAGUCACACUCAGCAUUUUGCAGGGUGGCUGAGCUGUGAGCACUGCUGUGGUAGAAGCAGCUGCCAGACCAUAAGCACCAUGAGCAGGACAGUGCUGGUACUUCUGGAGCAGCAGCAAGCGAACGUUUCAGCGCAGACCUUGGUUUGUUACAGAGAUCUCUCUGCUGUCUGGUUUCCAGGUUGCUAGGACACAUGAAAACUGUUCUGAUUCAUUUGUCCACAGGAAAAAAAAUAGG
rnacentral:lncRNA from 1 species